CCUACGGGAGGCAGCAGUGGGGAAUCUUGCACAAUGGAGGAAACUCUGAUGCAGCGAUGCCGCGUGAGUGAAGAAGGCCUUUGGGUUGUAAAGCUCUUUUGUAGGGGAAGAUAAUGACUGUACCCUAAGAAUAAGGUCCGGCUAACUUCGUGCCAGCAGCCGCGGUAAUACGAAGGGACCUAGCGUAGUUCGGAAUUACUGGGCGUAAAGCGCGCGUAGGCCGUUGAGUUAGUUAAUUGUGAAAUCCCAAAGCUUAACUUUGGAACUGCAAUUAAAACUGCUCGACUAGAGUUUGAUAGAGGAAAGCGGAAUACAUAGUGUAGAGGUGAAAUUCGUAGAUAUUAUGUAGAACACCAGUUGCGAAGGCGGCUUUCUGGAUCAACACUGACGCUGAGGCGCGAAAGUAUGGGUAGCAAAGAGGAUUAGAUACCCUCGUAGUCCAUACCAUAAACGAUGAUUGCUAGAUGUUGGAAAUUUAUUUUCAGUAUCGCAGCUAACGCAUUAAGCAAUCCGCCUGGGGAGUACGACCGCAAGGUUAAAACUCAAAUGAAAUUGACGG
rnacentral:rRNA from 1 species